rnacentral:rRNA from 1 species
AUGAACGCUGGCGGCGUGGAUAAGGCAUGCAAGUCAAGGGGCCCGCAAGGGCACCGGCGAACGAGGUAGUAACACGUAGGUACGCACCCCCAAGUCAGGAAUAACUCACCGAAAGGUGAGCUAAUACUUGAUGGUCCCCCCACCACUCGUGGUGGGGGGUAAAGAUUUAUCGCUUGGGGAGCGGCCUGCGGAGUAUCAGCUAGUUGGUAGGGUAAAAGCCUACCAAGGCUAUGACGCUUAGGGGAGGUGAGAGCCUGACCCCCACCGAUGGUACUGAGACACGGACCAUACACCUACGGGUGGCUGCAGUCGAGAAUCUUCCACAAUGGACGAAAGUCUGAUGGAGCGACGCCGCGUGACUGAAGAAGUCUUUCGGGAUGUAAAAGUCUUUUAUGAGGGAGAAAUUUUUGAUAGUACCUCAUGAAUAAGGGGUUGCUAAACUCGU